GAGUUUGAUCGUGGCUCAGGAUGAACGCUGGCGGCGUGCCUAAUACAUGCAAGUCGAGCGAACGGACGAGAAGCUUGCUUCUCUGAUGUUAGCGGCGGACGGGUGAGUAACACGUGGAUAACCUACCUAUAAGACUGGGAUAACUUCGGGAAACCGGAGCUAAUACCGGAUAAUAUUUUGAACCGCAUGGUUCAAAAGUGAAAGACGGUCUUGCUGUCACUUAUAGAUGGAUCCGCGCUGCAUUAGCUAGUUGGUAAGGUAACGGCUUACCAAGGCAACGAUGCAUAGCGACCUGAGAGGGUAAUCGGCCACACUGGAACUGAGACACGGUCCAGACUCCUACGGGAGGCAGCAGUAGGGAAGUCUUCCGCAAUGGGCGAAAGCCUGACGGAGCAACGCCGCGUGAGUGAUGAAGGUCUUCGGAUCGUAAAACUACUGUUAUUAGGGAAGGAACAUAUGUGUAAGUAACUGUGCACAUCUUGACGGUACCUAAUCAGAAAG
rnacentral:rRNA from 1 species